GGAAGGAUCAUUAUUCUGCACACAAAAAAAUUGGGUGGUUCUCUAUCCUUUCAUUAGAAGGGAUGGUUAACUGCCUGAUGAACUUUAAUUGAAAACAAACAAAAAACAAAUGUGUAACUUUUUUAGCGGGAGGCUAACCGCGUGACCAAGAGGCCAACCCUUCUUGGGGAAUAGGAAGCUGCAGAAGUUUGGAGGUGGAGUACCAGUCCCCUUUAAUUUUUUGUUGAUUUUCUGUUUCCUGAGAUGUUCCUUGAAAGGGAGAGGUAUUUUCUGAAGCGACGACUGGGGAUUGCUGGUACCAGCUCCUUUAGUUUUUUUGGAAGAUCUUUUUCUUUUUAAGGGACAACCCUUUUAAAGGUGUAAACCUUUGUUUAUCGGAUCAGGCACUAGAAUUUUAUAAGUAAACAAACACAGGUUGUGUAAAAAUGACCUUUCAUAACUUAUGACGGUGGAUUUCUCGGCUUACGUAACGAUGAAGAACGUAGCAAACUACGAUAAUUAGUGUGAAUUGCAAAAUACGUGAAUCAUCAAAUCUUUGAAUGCAUACUGCGCCGGGGGUCUAAUAACCUCUGGUCUAUCCGGUCGAGUGUCGAUUCUUCAUCACCAUCCCCCUUUUAACUUUUGUUUCUCGCUUUUAAAAACGGCAAGAAAGAGAGGUUGAUUCGAGGGGAAAGGUGGAUAUGAGGGUAGAGUUCUCUUAAGAGGGCAUCUUCCUUUUAAAUUCGUAAAACGGCGGUGGCGGAAAAAGAAAAUACCUACUCGCCUUUGAGAGGGAGAGGGUGACUUCGGGAAGCCAUUGCAAUAUGAGCCUGGUAAAAUUGAAAGUGAGCUUUGUGCGCCGGAGCUUUGAAACUCGCUAUAAAUACUGGGUACGCUUCCUUUGGAUUUGUAGGUGGUCGCCACUUUUUUUUGGCGUCUAGUUUAAAAUUGAGGAUCUCUUUCCGAGAUGUGGGGAACCUCUCACCUUCGAAUUCACUUUUGCUUUAGAUGGAGUGGUCUUUAUUGAUCAAGCUUUCCUAGCAGAGGUGAUUUAAAAAUUCGUUGAUGGGAAUCUCUAUUAAUCAAGGACGAAGGGCGGUGCUCUCUAGGCGUUGGAAGAGGAGAAGAUCACUUAUAUGUAUGUCUGAAGGAAUCUCUGAUACUAUGAUAAAGUUUUUCACUUUAUCUUAACGGCCUCGGCUCGGGUAGGAUUACCCGCUGAACUUAAGCAUAUUAGUAAGCGGAGGAAAAGAAAUUAACUAAGAUUCCCUCAGUAACUGCGAGUGAACCGGGAGGGAGCCCAGCCCUGAAUCGGGAGGGAUUCGUCUCUUACCGACGUGUGGGGUUUGUCGGGAUUGGUCAGGCGAGUGGGUGGCUUUGAAGUCAUCUUGGAACAGUGAGCCUUAGAGGGUGAUAGCCCCGUAAAGGUUGCCCGUUCGUCGGACUGGUUUCGAUUAGAGUCGAGCUGUUUGGGAGUACAGCUCUAACGGGUGAUAAAUUUCAUCCAAGGCUAAAUAUUAACGUAAGACCGAUAGCGCACAAGUACCGCGAGGGAAAGAUGCAAAGAACUCUGAAAAGAGAGUUAAAAGUACAUGAAACCGUUAUAAGGUAAAGCGGUGGGCAGGGCACAUACUGUUACUGGGAUUCUGUCUUUGGUUGUCUUGAGGCGUUUGUCAAGGCGUCGGAAACGGCGUUUCUGGUAGGCGUUUUUGGGAUCUCUGGGGACGUACUUCCUGGUGAUGGGUUCAUCGGAUACUUGUUUGGGCUUUGAAAGAUUUGGUAGUCGUCUUCGGAUUGGCGAAGGAUCAUAGAUGUCUGAAUGGGUAUAGGACUGCGAAAGUGGUUUGAGCAGCGCUUAGCGUUUAUAGUUGCUGUUCUCGUCGGUGAAUUUCAGGUGUCAUGCCAACUGACCCGUCUUGAAACACGGACCAAGGAGUCUAUCAGGCAUGCGAGUUCGAGAGUGUUAAAACUUUAGGGCGUAAUGAAAGUGAUUAGGUGUGAUGUCUGUAAAAAGAUUGCAGCACUGACCGGUCAAGAGCAUUCGUGUUCAGGAUCGAGUUGGAGCAUGUCUAAUAGAACCCGAAAGGUGGCGAACUAUGCCUGCACAGGAUGAAGCCAGGAGAAAUCCUGGUGGAAGUCCGUAGCGGUAUUGACGUGCAAAUCAUUCGUCAGAUGCGGGUAUAGCGGCGAAAGACCAAUCGAGCCGCCUAGUAGCUGGUUCCCUC
rnacentral:misc_RNA from 1 species